UACGGAGGGUGCAAGCGUUAUCCGGAUUCACUGGGUUUAAAGGGUGCGUAGGUGGGCAAGUAAGUCAGUGGUGAAAUCUCCGGGCUUAACCCGGAAACUGCCAUUGAUACUAUUUGUCUUGAAUACUGUGGAGGUCAGCGGAAUAUGUCAUGUAGCAGUGAAAUGCUUAGAUAUGACAUAGAACACCAAUUGCGAAGGCAGCUGGCUACACAAAUAUUGACACUGAGGCACGAAAGCGUGGGGAUCAAACAGG
rnacentral:rRNA from 1 species